rnacentral:rRNA from 1 species
UACGAAGGGAGCUAGCGUUACUCGGAAUCACUGGGCGUAAAGCGCAUGUAGGCGGAAUUAUAAGUCAGGGGUGAAAUCCCGGGGCUCAACCCCGGAAUUGCCUUUGAAACUGUAAUACUUGAGUAUGGUAGAGGAUAGUGGAAUUUCCAGUGUAGAGGUGAAAUUCGUAGAUAUUGGAAAGAACACCGGUGGCGAAGGCGGCUAUCUGGACCAUUACUGACGCUGAGAUGCGAAAGCGUGGGGAGCAAACGGG